CGACUCUGACUGGCGGUGGUCUACCCAAUCCGUAGCUUUUGUACCCUCGGCCUCGCGGAUGCUCCCCGUUCCCUGCCUCGACGCUUCCUGAUUAUCGGGUCGAGAUAACCAGCUUGUCCUCGUAAUCGAUUUCGGGAAAAGGGGGAUAAGAGCUCCUCGACGAGGGGGAAGUCGAGGACUACCCGGAGAAGAGGGGCUCGGGCGAUUUCCCGAUUUUCCGAUUUCGAGUCGCCGAUACGGAAAAUUGACCGCAAUGGAUUAUGCAUCGGUGACCCCCGGGGCUCGAGGGCCCUCCGGUUGAAAGAUUGACGCGAAACCCAUUAAUUCCCGCGGAGAGGCCCUCCAUCAAAAUUUCUCAUCCCGGCCAGGCAUUGAGGGAAUCGAGCUUCCCGCGGGAAUCGCCUUCUAGGCCUACCAGGAAAGUAUUUUGGCUCCCUACGAAUGUAUAACUCGAAACCGUCAGACCGGUCGAUUAAAAUCCCACCCUUUUAUCAAAGGGUACUCCAGCGAAUUGACGGAAAUUUUAGGACACGACUGGUGACCCAUUGAACUUGUCAAAAGUGUCGGGAGAUUUUUUAAGAGCCCCCGAAUACUCUAAAAAAAAAUUACUUGUCUUGCUCCAAUUGAUAGGUAUCGAUGGUUUCGGGUCGCUUCAAGGAGUCCCAAUUGUCAGGAAAUUUCUAAACCCAAGGACAAUGGUCACCGAGCAGUCGUACCCCGGAUUACCCUUCGAUCUUCGAUUCUCGAGGAGUUCCACCCCAUUGGGACUCGACCGGGCGAGAAAUUGCGCGAUUCGGUACUCCCUAAAAUGCAGCCCGAGAAAAAGUGUCGAGGGCACGCGAGGAGUAGCCGAGGUCCUUAAGGGAGAGGACCCCCUCCCUCGGGGGAGGUCCCGGGGAGGCAGCAAUCUCCUGCUCUCCUUCGGGAGAAACGUUGAUCCCGGCUGCGUGACCAACAUUCCGAGAUUCCCGAGGGAGGGCUGGACUAAUCGUCGCGCCUUCCCACGGGAAUGCCAAGGUACGAACUGCUGAGUCGGUCCCUCGGCAGUCUUCCCUCUGGAACUUUUUAUACCGAUACACUCCUAGUCUCUUAUCGCUCGCGAGCGAAGUCGCUUAUCACCGGCGUAAGUCCAGGGUUUUGGGAUUUUUUUUUCUUGUUCUCCUUUCCCAGGAAUACCGCGAGCUCGAAUGUCAAGGAGGACUCACCGUCUCCGGGAGGAACUGGGACGCUUACGUGACCCUCUGGAGCGAAGGGACCCGGGAUCGCCCAUCAAGGAAUUAAUCCCCCUCGAGUCGGUACAGUUUUGGGAGAGAUUAGGGGAGAUCUCUCCCUCCACCCCCCGAUCGCAAGAGGAGCGAGUACGCUGCAGAUACUUAGAGUACUUACGGGUGUUACAGCGACUCGAAGGACGAUUGCAGGGCCUGCAUCGCAAAAUGCAGAUACCGACACCUUUUGAGACCACCCCGGAUUCUCCGAGGAAAUUUCCCUGGCAGGAGCUGCUUUCAAUCACCGGAGCCUCGGCUGAUCGACGUCGCGUACGCGACAAGGGUAUCGAAAUCACCGGGAAAUGCCGGAGAAAAAUAGGAGGACGGGAGAUAGAGAGAGCGCCGAAAAGCCGGCCGAAUGGAUGCGCUUUAAUAUUAUCUCCUGCAUGAAGAAUGGGGCGAGGAUGUACCCGGGGAAAUAUCGGGGAAGGCCAUUUUCUCGGGCCCGAUUCUCCCUGACGAGGCCGAGUCGUCGAGGGGCUGCUCUCAAAUUACUAUUCCCGUUUUCUUUUCAUUUUCCUUUUCUUUUCACUUUUACUCCUAGGAGCCGCCGGGCGCUCUUCCUCCGAUCAGCUGAUCGCGCUUAGGGAGGGCUGGAAUCACGCGGAGGCGGUUUAGGGGGGCUGAUACGAUUGAUAAGAGCCGGCGAUUCCUUCUGGCGAUAAGUCGGGAUCUCGAGGGCAUAAUGAGAGGGCCCGGAGGUAAUAAGUGGAAAAUAAUGACGUUUGUCGAGGAGGAGAAGCGCUCGAUCGAUGGUCGAGUGGGAGCGCGCGGUAUGAAAGGCGAAUCCCACAAAGAGAGGGCCUUGAGGGAAAAGGCGGGGAAAAAAGGUGCCGAUAUCGAAAGGAGCAGCCAGACGCGAUAGACGCGUGGAAUAAACCGAUUCGUCGCGCGGCAGUCCAUAGAUUAGGUGUUCAGAAGCCAAUCAGGACUCGGGAUAAAAGGAGGACCCCGACCAUCUUAGACUUCCCUCUCCGCCUUUCGCGCGAUCCCUCCACGUGCAAAUAAGGAAAUCAUUUAUUCACGUUCGGAGAAGAAUCCAGCGGUAAUGAAUUUUUUUUCCUGUUUUUUUUUUUCGCCUCCUCGGUAUCAAUAAAUAUAAAUGAGAUGAUCGAUGCGGUCUUCCAUUUAUAUCGCGAGGAAAUCCAGGACGACGUUUUAUCCUUCGGGAGAAAAUGUCGGCGACGCGACGCUGGGUAAUCAAUCGACCGGCGGUCCUGGAUCCUGGGAUGAUAAGCCGAUAAAUAUUCAGAUAUAAAUUGAGGACCUCCUCGUUAGUAUGGAUGCGAAGGGGAACACUUGGCUCGACGCGCAAUUAAAAGCCUGUCGAGGAGGAGGUCCAAUUGGCCGGUCGCGAAAAAUCCCCGGAAAUACGGAAAUCCGGGGAAAUCCUCGAAUCCGACUCGGACUCCUCGUCUCCGGGGAAUUUCCCGGACGAUCGGCGCGACUCGUUCGCGCUCGACCAAAUCCUCGAUAUCGAGUUAUUCCCGAUUUACUCGCCGGAGGAAGCCGAGAAAAAGGAAACGAGGGGAGAGUUCCUCCACCCUCUCGCGACGGGCGCUCCUGAUUUCUGACACCUCCGGGAGCGAAAUGCAAAUACUUCGUUUGGCGAGCUGCGAAGUCGCGCCUUGAAGAAGAAAAAAAAAAGAGAGAGAGAAAAAAAAUUGAAAUCCCCCUGAAAGUUGAGAAUUUUCAAUAUUUCUUUUUUUCUUGCGGCGAGCACUUCCACGGUGUCUAUUUUUGAUAACACCCAUAUUGACUCGAUCACGCGAGGCGGGGGUGUGAGGGGAAAAAAAGGGUGCAGAGGGGCGAAGUCGCGUCCUCCGAAGAUUUCGGCUCGGUCUAUCGAAUGUAGGUUAUUGGGAUGCAGGGUGGAGGGGUGGUGGCGGGUCUGAAUAUCGCUGAUGGUGCCAUGUUGAAGCACCCUUCGCCGCUCCGGGCCGAGUUUCUCCGUCUAACCUCAACCCUCUUUUGCCUUUUGCCUUGAGCGGCCCUGGGGCUCCCUUCGACCCUACGACCGAUCGAUUCCCUAUCGAUGUUUUCCCGCGUCGAGACUUUAAACGCGGAUGCGAUCGAUCGGUUUGCCCACAGGUGGGACAGGUCGGAUCGAUCGGGUCGACAAAUGGUCCCGAAGGAACGAUCACAAGGAUCCCGGAACUUCUGAGACGAGCUCGGGGAAGGAAUCGUCGAUAAUCGCCGGCAAAGUCGGCCAACCGAGUCCUCCUGCCUCGUGGGGGGGGUUUAAUUUGCGACGAUUAAUGUUUACCUAGCCGACUAGCAUCCGACCAUCCAUCCGAGGAGUAUGGCUGGAUGCCGGGAGGUAACUCGGCGCUCCUCGACUCGGUACACACGGAGGGCAUCGGUGGGGCAUAAGGGGUGCAUCGGGGCGCACGUCGCCCGUCGAAGGAGGAAAGAGCGUUUUCAGGGACGAGAUUAAAUCCAGCCUUCUCGGGGGCGACUUUGAUUCCAGGAGUCGCCGAGUUAAACGGCUCCGGGGAAUAGGGGAAACCCUCUCGCGAGCACGUCUCGGUAGAUCCGAGCUCUCGCUCCGGGAUGUGAAAUGAAUAAAAAUGUAUUAAUAAGGGAUCGAUCGGUAUCAAGAUCGCGUACGAAAAUCCCUACUCCCCUGGGGCUUCCGUCAAACUCCAGGAACUACGGCGGGGGUAACGGCAACAAGCGAGGGGGCGACGUUUCCCCGAACAUUGGCCCGUGGGGGUGUCACCCCGCCGCCCCGAGGAUCGGGCCGGUACAAUGGAAAUUCCCGAGUUCCUCGAAGUUCGGGGGGAUCGGGAACCGGGAUCGGGAUUUCCCCGAGCGAUCCAUUGUCGGGAACGACCUCGGCCCGGAGUGAUCGAAACUCUCCGCCGAGCCUUCGGGCUUCCGGGGCGACCUCGACAAUGGGCCGGGGGCUCCGGGCUCGCUAAAACCCCGAGAAAUCGACCAGCCCCGAUCGCGAUCGUACCUUUUCCUCGGGGAGGGAUCUUAAAUCUUAAAUAUGAAAUUUUAACCAAGACCGGGUCUCGGGAACGAGGUCCUUACCUCCGAGUCCUUGGACGAGGAAAGAACCGGAGAUCGAAACGCAUGAAUUAUUUAUCUUAAUUAUAUCUAGCCCCCUCUUAAUGGGUGCUCCGGCGGCGGCUCCGUUUUGUAAUUCCGGGGGCGGGAUAACGAGCGGAGAUUCCCCGGGAAUUGGGUUUAUUUUACUAAGCCGCGUAAAGAGGAACGAGGUGGAGGGAGGACCGGCUUGAAAGCGGGAGGAGCGCAAAGGGUUGGCCCGACUUUUAAGGAGCUUCCUUCCCCGGAAUAUCGUCCGCGGAAGAGGGAGGAAAUUAUCGGGGCCCCUAGGCUUCCGGGGGAAUAACGCGAAACGGCGACAUUUUUCCCCCGUAAACGAGGGAAUCGACUCCUCUCAUAAUUCGAGCCCGCGGGGGGAGCGGGAUUCCCCCUUUUCCCCCGAAGAAGCGGCGAGCCAAGUGGAAUCGAAUCGCGCAACCCUAAAUUCGUUCUCGCCUCCGUUCCCGCCUCGAAUGUUUAUCGUCAUCCCCUCGAUCAUUUAUCGGGCUCUUGCUCGAUCGAUCGAUCGCUUGCCCGGAUGUGAGGGCGGAUUGGAUUAAAAAAUCCUAGAUGGGUUCGUUAAGCCUUCGAUAAUCCCGAUUAUACCCCUCGCUCGUUAUUCCCCCCCUUUUGCGCUGUCUAUAGUGACGAGGAAAAUACCCUCUGGGUAAAAAACGCCGUUCUAGCGGAGUCGAGCGCCGUUAAACGGCGUUAAACGGCGUUAAACGGCGUUAAACGGCGUUAAACGGCGUUAAACGGCGUUAAACGGCGUUUAACGCCGUUUAACGGAGUUUAACGGCGCGCCGGUAGGUGGUGGGGGCGGUCACGUGGGGCGUCGGGCAUC